UGCUCUCAUGCUACCUGGGGAAGGCAAGAAGGAGAUACUCUUAAGCAGGGAGUCUCUUUAUCCCUAGGGUGACUCUGGAACUGUGUGACGUGCUGCUGGAUUCUACUGGACACUUGGACAGUACACUAUGAACAGCUCUUAAUUGACCAACAAGGAGUGACAUGGUUUACAGACGACAGUUCCAAAGUGAAUGGACAACAUUCUGUUUGGAUGGCUGCUACUUUGAUCAAAGAAAGUAAAAACGUAUCAGCAAGCUCCAUGAUAGCCUUCAAGCCAUACAGCUCACAACCACAGUAGCUGUGAAAACUACCAACCUAGCAACCACUGGAGGAAACAAAACAGGUUUAGAGCUCACCAAAAAGCCCAAGACUUGUCACUGUUAGACCUGUCAGUCAGCUACCUGGAAAAGCUCCAUUCUCCAGGAGACUGGCUAAGGAAGAAUGCGAUCUGUGGAAACAACAGAACUGGCAUCACCUGAGAGCUUGCAGAUACCACAGAAACUCCGGCCCUACCCAGAUGUACUAAAUGAGGUCCUCCGUGUUGCUAUGCUGAAUUCAACUGAAGAAGCUGAAGUAUUGCACCUUUACGCUACAUACUUUACAGUUCACAAAUACACUAUUUCAUGUAUGACUUGUCCUC